UGAAUAGGAAUGAAUGCCAAUUGUUAAGCCUUCUAGACUUAACAAGUAUUUAUUUGCAUUGAAGCUUAGUUUAUAAAGUGUUUGAAAUAUAAAUAUUUUUCUGGACAGAGGGUCCAUUAGCCUUUGAAUGCUUUUAAGUUGUUCUAUCCCUAGAAGAUUAAGCACCAAAUACUCUAGACCAGGGGACCUCAAUCAUUUUCUUACCCUAACACCCUAAACGACUUGACACGUUUUCGUCAGGAAUAGCAAUUCUCAAACAGAGGAGCUUUAUGAGACUCACUGGGGCAUAGAGCUCCUCUAUGCCUACUGAAAAUUUCUAAGGUCAUCAUAUUGACUUAUUCCUGUUUUCUCUUCCAGUAUAAAGCUAAAUUAUUCUGACAACACAUCCAACAUUAACAAACUAUUUGUUUACAAAAUCAAUAAAUAGCAUCUGAAGGUUUGAAAAUUUUGCUCAUUUAAAGACCCUCCCUUAUUAAGUAAAUUUUUUUAAAUGUCUCUGAUGACUUGUCCACAAACCACCAUCAAGUCAGUUAAGUUCAAUAUGUGACAAUUAAACCUCAGGUGUGCAAAACACAUAGUUCAAGGAACAAGUAGGUAUAGACUUAUUAUAAUUACAUGACUUGACAAGGUGCACUGUCAUCCAAAAAUGAAUUGCAUUUAUUAUCAAUUGCUAUUUGUUCACUAGUAUGAAGAUGCCAAUUUACAUACACAGAAAGUAUUUUAUAUACUUUGAUCCUGCCAUAUGUAAAUUAUGGAUGUUUGUAAACCAAAAUUGUAUGCCAAAUUUAUAUUCCUAGAAUAUUAUCAGUGUAACAUCACAAACCAUUUUCAUGUCAGCUUGUUGAAGCUGAGGGUCUAUUACAUGCAAAAAUCAGUUGAUUAUUUUUAUAGACACAUCACACUUGGUUACGAUUUUCUGCAUUGCACUGGUUACUCUUUGUAUUGAAAACAAACUUGGAAAUUACGAAAUGUAGUUUUCUUAAAAACAAAAUUAUUAGCUAAUAGGAACUAAACCACCAGAAAUUCUUUUACACUAAUGACUAGAGUCAGAGUCACAAUAGAAAUUAUUUUAAUAAUGGUUGAAGAAAAAAUGACUUGGAUGCCAUAUUAGAACUAAAACAAUUUGAUAAUUUCAUUAAAAAACUGCUUUAUAUACUGUAGAAUUAAACAAUGGCUUCAUCUUACCAAGUAUAAAAGGUAACCACUUUUAAUGUGAGUCUGCUUCCAAGACAUUAAGCCAUAAAAUUUUAUUUCAGGGAAAAUAAUACAACACUUUAAAGCAUUUCCUAGAUUUCCCUACCUUCUAAUGACAUUUUAACACCUUAUUCUGGAUGGGUCCAUAUGAUUUCAAGAGCAUUUUGACUCAAGGUCUUAGAAGCACAAAAUUUAGGAAAUUCUAAAAACAAAACAGGAAGAUGCACAGCACAUGUAUGUAAAUCAGAAAGAACAAACAAUGGAAGGUGGCUAACCCUUUAACAAUUUUGAAUUUCUGACCCUUAUUUUGUCACACUGGUAUCUGUAUUAAAAAUAAGGAAUGUUGGGUUUCUUCAUAUAUGAUAAUUCACAAAACUGACCUCUUUUGGUCCAGAACUACUUAAAAGUAUUCUAAGGCCAAAAUACAAAAACUCUAGAAGCCAUUAUUAAAUUUUAGAGAUACUAUAUGAGGAAACUUACAACAUGGCUUUUCAGGUAUGAAUUUAUAAGAGUCAAAAAAUUCUUCACAGUAAUAAGAUUUGGUGUUUAGAAGGCAACAAAGGCAAUAAAAUUAGCUAUCAAAGGGAUAGGAUAGCUGUGAAACUAUU